rnacentral:rRNA from 1 species
UCGAACGAACUCUGGUAUUGAGUGGUGCUUGCAUCAUGAUUUACAUUUGAGUGAGUGGCGAACUGGUGAGUAACACGUGAGAUACCUGCCCAGAAGCGGGGGAUAACACCUGGAAACAGAUGUUAAUACCGCAUAACAACUUGGACCGCAUGGUCCGAGUUUGAAAGAUGGCUUCGGCUAUCACUUUUGGAUGGUCCCGCGGCGUAUUAGCUAGAUGGUGGGGUAACGGCUCACCAUGGCAAUGAUACGUAGCCGACCUGAGAGGGUAAUCGGCCACAUUGGGACUGAGACACGGCCCAAACUCCUACGGGAGGCAGCAGUAGGGAAUCUUCCACAAUGGACGAAAGUCUGAUGGAGCAACGCCGCGUGAGUGAAGAAGGGUUUCGGCUCGUAAAACUCUGUUGUUAAAGAAGAACAUAUCUGAGAGUAACUGUUCAGGUAUUGACGGUAUUUAACCAGAAAGCCACGGCUAACUACGUGCCAGCAGCCGCGGUAAUACGUAGGUGGCAAGCGUUGUCCGGAUUUAUUGGGCGUAAAGCGAGCGCAGGCGGUUUUUUAAGUCUGAUGUGAAAGCCUUCGGCUCAACCGAAGAAGUGCAUCGGAAACUGGGAAACUUGAGUGCAGAAGAGGACAGUGGAACUCCAUGUGUAGCGGUGAAAUGCGUAGAUAUAUGGAAGAACACCAGUGGCGAAGGCGGCUGUCUGGUCUGUAACUGACGCUGAGGCUCGAAAGUAUGGGUAGCAAACAGGAUUAGAUACCCUGGUAGUCCAUACCGUAAACGAUGAAUGCUAAGUGUUGGAGGGUUUCCGCCCUUCAGUGCUGCAGCUAACGCAUUAAGCAUUCCGCCUGGGGAGUACGGCCGCAAGGCUGAAACUCAAAGGAAUUGACGGGGGCCCGCACAAGCGGUGGAGCAUGUGGUUUAAUUCGAAGCUACGCGAAGAACCUUACCAGGUCUUGACAUACUAUGCAAAUCUAAGAGAUUAGACGUUCCCUUCGGGGACAUGGAUACAGGUGGUGCAUGGUUGUCGUCAGCUCGUGUCGUGAGAUGUUGGGUUAAGUCCCGCAACGAGCGCAACCCUUAUUAUCAGUUGCCAGCAUUAAGUUGGGCACUCUGGUGAGACUGCCGGUGACAAACCGGAGGAAGGUGGGGAUGACGUCAAAUCAUCAUGCCCCUUAUGACCUGGGCUACACACGUGCUACAAUGGAUGGUACAACGAGUUGCGAACUCGCGAGAGUAAGCUAAUCUCUUAAAGCCAUUCUCAGUUCGGAUUGUAGGCUGCAACUCGCCUACAUGAAGUCGGAAUCGCUAGUAAUCGCGGAUCAGCAUGCCGCGGUGAAUACGUUCCCGGGCCUUGUACACACCGCCCGUCACACCAUGAGAGUUUGUAACACCCAAAGUCCGUGGGGUAACCUUUUAGGAACCAGCCGCCUAAGGUGGGACAGAUGAUUAGGGUGAAGUCGUACGGGGGUAACCGACCGGUUUGCUACCCAUACUUUCGAGCCUCAGCGUCUGUUACAGA